AAAACGACUCUCGGCAAUGGAUAUCUCGGCUCUCGCAUCGAUGAAGAGCGCAGCGAAAUGCGAUACGUGGUGCGAAUUGCAGAAUCCCGCGAACCAUCGAGUCUUUGAACGCAAGUUGCGCCCGAGGCCAACCGGCCAAGGGCACGUCUGCCUGCGCGUCAAGC
rnacentral:rRNA from 1 species